rnacentral:tRNA from 1 species
GAGCGAAGAGGGCCAAAAUUAAGCUGCUAACUUAAAUUUUAACGGUUAAACUCCGUUAUUUGCUCU